CACGUAGUUAGCCGGAGCUUAUUCUACAGGUACUGUCUUUUUUCUUCCCUGUCUAAAGCAGUUUACAAUCCUAAAACCUUCUUCCUGCACGCGGCGUCACUGCAUCAGAGUUUCCUCCAUUGUGCAAUAUUCCCGACUGCUGCCUCCCGUAGGAGUCUGGGCCGUAUCUCAGUCCCAAUGUGGCCGUUCAACCUCUCAGUUCGGCUACUGAUCGUCGCCUUGGUAGGCCUUUACCCCACCAACUAGCUAAUCAGACGCAAGCCCAUCUAUUAGCGGAUUUCUCCUUUCCCACUAAGACCAUGUGGUCUUUAUGGCAUAUGCGGUAUUAGCAAUGAUUUCUCACUGUUAUUCCCCUCUAAUAGGCAGGUUGCUUACGUGUUACUCACCAGUCCGCCACUAACUUCCACCCAAUGUAAACAUUUGGCUUCUGUCCGUUCGACUUGCAUGUCUUAUGUGCGCCGCCAGCGUUUUAUCCUGAGCCAGGAUCAAACUCU
rnacentral:rRNA from 1 species